UACAGGAUAUAGUGCUUUUACAAUAUAAAACUCCAGUAUAAUUUCAAAUUUUUCACUUCUCCGUUGAAUUAUAUUCCUUAUUGAGUAGCGAUUCCAACAUAUACUAAAAGGGGGUAAUAAAAAUUGGAUGAAUAUAGGAUAAAAACAUAGGCAUUAUUCCAUUACAGUAGUAAUUGAUGAAGUUUACAGUUAUGAUAUAUUUAGCAAGUACUGUCUUGUUUUCAUAAGAAAAAAACUAGAAAAUGUUGGCAAAGACAAGCUUACUGGUAUGCAUAUGGGAAUUCGUGGGAAGCAAAGAUAGUU
rnacentral:lncRNA from 1 species